GGGGCUGUAGCUCAGCUGGGAGAGCGCCUGCUUUGCAAGCAGGAGGUCAGGGGUUCGAACCCCCUCAGCUCCACCA
rnacentral:tRNA from 1 species